rnacentral:rRNA from 1 species
GCCUACAUGAAGUCGGAAUCGCUAGUAAUCGCGGAUCAGCAUGCCGCGGUGAAUACGUUCCCGGGCCUUGUACACACCGCCCGUCACACCAUGAGAGUUUGUAACACCCAAAGCCCGGUGGGGAACCUUUUGGAGCCAGCCGUCUAAGGUGGGACAGAUGAUUGGGGUGAAGUCGUAACAAGGUAAC